GAGUGGAUGUAUUGCAGCAUCUGUUGUGAAUGUUUGUAAUACGAGUGAAAAAAAUAGAACAUCUUGAUAGGUAGGCCUAAGUGAAAAAAGUUUACAAGAAAAGAGGGUGAACAUGAGAGAGAAGCAUAUGACGAAAGGUUAUACAUGAAGAAGACAGAUGGAUGAAGAGGUCUAAAAAGCGUUAGAUAUUUUACGAGAAGACCAAAGUAAGAAUAGCAAGUUAAUUUAAAGAGCAUUAUUUGAAAACGAACUGAAAUCUUUAGCGUUGGAGAAUGAAAAAAGAAAGAAACACAAAUGAGUGAAGAAGGAAACAGUUG